rnacentral:misc_RNA from 1 species
CCAGCACCUUCAGCUAUCACAAUAACCAUGUGACCAUCUUCUUUGAGUCGUUUCUCUAUGUAAUCAAAAAGACCACCUUCCCCUUCAAGAUAAAAGGGUGACUCUGGUAUCAAGCAACAAUCGACAUCUCGGCUUGCAAGAGUAGCGUACAUUGCAAUAAAUCCACUAUUACGACCCAUUAACUUCACAAGACCAAUACCAUUCUCGAUACUCUCAGCUUCAACAUGAGCUGCAUUAAUAGCACGUUGAGCUUCCUCAACAGCAGUGUCAAAACCAAAGGAUUUGUCAAUAACUGGAAUGUCAUUAUCAAU